rnacentral:rRNA from 1 species
GGACCCGCACAAGUAGUGGAGCAUGUGGUUUAAUUCGAAGAUACGCGCAGAACCUUACCAACACUUGACAUGUUCGUCGCGACUUUAAGAGAUUAAAGUUUUCGGUUCGGCCGGACGAAACACAGGUGCUGCAUGGCUGUCGUCAGCUCGUGUCGUGAGAUGUUGGGUUAAGUCCCGCAACGAGCGCAACCCUCACUUUUAGUUGCCAUCAUUUAGUUGGGCACUCUGAAAGAACUGCCAGUGAUAAGCUGGAGGAAGGUGGGGAUGACGUCAAGUCCUCAUGGCCCUUACGUGUUGGGCUACACACGUGCUACAAUGGUAUCUACAACAGGAAGUGAAACGGCGACGUUAAGCAAAUCCUAAAAAGAUACCUCAGUUCGGAUUGCACUCUGCAACUCGAGUGCAUGAAGCUGGAAUUACUAGUAAUCGC